CCUACGGGCGGCUGCAGCUAAGAAUAUUCCGCAAUGGACGAAAGUCUGACGGAGCGACGCCGCGUGGAUGAAGAAGGCCGAAAGGUUGUAAAGUUCUUUUGCGAGGGAAGAAUAACCGCAGGAGGGAAUGCCUGUGGGAUGACAUGAACUUGCGAAUAAGCCCCGGCCAACUACGUGCCAGCAGCCGCGGUAACACGUAGGGGGCGAGCGUUGUUCGGAAUUACUGGGCGUAAAGGGCAUGUAGGCGGUCUGGUAAGCCUGGCGUGAAAGACCACAGCUUAACUGUGGGGUUGCGUUGGGAACUGCUGGGCUCGAGUGACGGAGAGGGAGCUGGAAUUCCUGGUGUAGGGGUGAAAUCUGUAGAUAUCAGGAAGAACACCGAUGGCGAAGGCAAGCUCCUGGCCGAUGACUGACGCUGAGGUGCGAAAGUGUGGGGAUCAAACAGGAUUAGAUACCCGGGUAGUCUG
rnacentral:rRNA from 1 species